CCCCUGCUGCCUUGUCGCCUGUGGCCCUGUGACAGCCAGAAACUCACCCCACCUCUCUGAAAAGAGCGGAGAUCCGGGAGAGAGAAACUCCUCUGUGGUGGGCUUUCAGCUCCCCCCACUAGCAUAUCAGCCAGCAUCAAGAUCUGCACCCUGGCAUCAGUUUUCCUGGCACAGUGCUUUUAGAAAUCACACCUGCCCCUGUGAGGUGCUCUGUGAGUGCAGUCUGAGAGAAGGAAAAGAGAACUGGAAAGCUCCACACACAUUGUGGCUUUCACAUCUCCUGUCCUGCUGCAUUCCUGUGCCUGGAAUCGUGUUUGUCCUGUGUGUGACGAGUGGAUUAUGCUGUACUUCUGUCUGGACACUGGGACAUGGUCAGGGACAUACUCUGUCCCUGGCACCCCUUCAGAAAGAUGCAAGCUGGAUUCCUCAUGUGGAUAGAGCAGAAAUAUCAGUCCUUUAAAUAGUUGCAUGAGGGAGUUUGAGUUUCUUAUAUAUAUAAACCAUUAUAUUUAGAUAUAAAACACCUCUUUUUCUAACAGAAGAAGUGUUCCAUGCAGGCUUUGUUCCCACAAAGGGGCCAGAGUUCAAUUUUGUGUAAAAAUAUCUGAUGAUUAGAUAGUGUUUGUUUGGUCUUUUUUAACUGAAAACAAAAGAAGACUGCAAGGAAAUUUAAAAAAACAAACCCAAACACUACUAUUAAGACUUAUUGCUAAUAACCCUAUGCAUAAUAAUCAGUAUUUUGUCCUCCUGAUUGUCUUUUUCUAUUAUUCAAUUUUCAAAGGGCCUGGGUCAGACUAUGCAGCCCUUAUUACCGAACAUGUAUAAUGUUGUCUUCUAAAUUCC
rnacentral:lncRNA from 1 species